ACUCCUACGGGAGGCAGCAGUGGGGAAUAUUGCACAAUGGGCGCAAGCCUGAUGCAGCCAUGCCGCGUGUAUGAAGAAGGCCUUCGGGUUGUAAAGUACUUUCAGCGGGGAGGAAGGGAGUAAAGUUAAUACCUUUGCUCAUUGACGUUACCCGCAGAAGAAGCACCGGCUAACUCCGUGCCAGCAGCCGCGGUAAUACGGAGGGUGCAAGCGUUAAUCGGAAUUACUGGGCGUAAAGCGCACGCAGGCGGUUUGUUAAGUCAGAUGUGAAAUCCCGGCUCACCUGGAACUGCAUCUGAUACUGGCAAGCUU
rnacentral:rRNA from 1 species